rnacentral:lncRNA from 1 species
GAUUUUUGCUUGUUCUAUUCUUUGCUUUUUGGAUUUCAUGUUCUCGCACAUGUUUUUCUGUUUUUGUUAUCUGUGCCCCUGUGUUUGUCCUUGGAUCUCCUAAGGCACCUUGGUUUGUUUUUCCACAGAAUUGAAUUCUUGGCAGCUUUUUUGCUCUGCACUGCAGCUUGCAGAUCACCUGCCAUUGUCUUCAGCUCCAGAGUGCUACACUUAAAGUACAGAUCACUGUCAAGUGCAAAGGGUUGUGGACUGAAUUGUGCAGAAAAUGGAUACAGACUAGAACUGGAUCUAAACUAGUAAGUCUAAAGUGCAGUAACAAAAACAAUUCAGAGCUGAAGAAAAAAA